AAAUUGAAGAGUUUGAUCAUGGCUCAGAUUGAACGCUGGCGGCAGGCCUAACACAUGCAAGUCGAACGGUAACAGGAAGCAGCUUGCUGCUUUGCUGACGAGUGGCGGACGGGUGAGUAAUGUCUGGGAAACUGCCUGAUGGAGGGGGAUAACUACUGGAAACGGUGGCUAAUACCGCAUA
rnacentral:rRNA from 7 species